rnacentral:siRNA from 1 species
UCUGUAGCUGCCUGGAUCGAG